rnacentral:rRNA from 1 species
AUUGAACGCUGGCGGCAUGCCUUACACAUGCAAGUCGAACGGCAGCACGGGUGCUUGCACCUGGUGGCGAGUGGCGAACGGGUGAGUAAUACAUCGGAACGUACCUUAUCGUGGGGGAUAACGCAGCGAAAGCUGUGCUAAUACCGCAUACGCCCUGAGGGGGAAAGCGGGGGAUCGCAAGACCUCGCGCGAUUAGAGCGGCCGAUGCCUGAUUCGCUUGUUGGUGGGGUAAAAGCCCACCAAGGCGACGAUCAGUAGCUGGUCUGAGAGGACGAUCAGCCACACUGGGGCUGAGACACGGCCCAGACUCCUACGGGAGGCAGCAGUGGGGAAUUUUGGACAAUGGGGGCAACCCUGAUCCAGCAAUGCCGCGUGAGUGAAGAAGGCCUUCGGGUUGUAAAGCUCUUUUGUCAGGGAAGAAACACCGGCUCUAACACAGUCCGGGAAUGACGGUACCUGAAGAAUAAGCACCGGCUAACUACGUGCCAGCAGCCGCCGCAG